GGUUAAGCGACUAAGCGUACACGGUGGAUGCCCUGGCAGUCAGAGGCGAUGAAGGACGUGCUAAUCUGCGAAAAGCGUCGGUAAGGUGAUAUGAACCGUUAUAACCGGCGAUGUCCGAAUGGGGAAACCCAGUGCAAUUCGUUGCACUAUCGUUAACUGAAUACAUAGGUUAACGAGGCGAACCGGGGGAACUGAAACAUCUAAGUACCCCGAGGAAAAGAAAUCAACCGAGAUUCCCCCAGUAGCGGCGAGCGAACGGGGAGCAGCCCAGAGUCUGAAUCAGCUUGUGUGUUAGUGGAACGGUCUGGAAAGUCCGACGGUACAGGGUGAUAGUCCCGUACACCAAAAUGCACAGGUUGUGAACUCGAAGAGUAGGGCGGGACACGUGGUAUCCUGUCUGAAUAUGGGGGGACCAUCCUCCAAGGCUAAAUACUCCUGACUGACCGAUAGUGAACCAGUACCGUGAGGGAAAGGCGAAAAGAACCCCGGCGAGGGGAGUGAAAAAGAACCUGAAACCGUGUACGUACAAGCAGUGGGAGCACCUUCGGGUGUGACUGCGUACCUUUUGUAUAAUGGGUCAGCGACUUAUAUUCUGUAGCAAGGUUAACCGUAUAGGGGAGCCGCAGGGAAACCGAGUCUUAACUGGGCGUUAAGUUGCAGGGUAUAGACCCGAAACCCGGUGAUCUAGCCAUGGGCAGGUUGAAGGUUGGGUAACACUAACUGGAGGACCGAACCGACUAAUGUUGAAAAAUUAGCGGAUGACUUGUGGCUGGGGGUGAAAGGCCAAUCAAACCGGGAGAUAGCUGGUUCUCCCCGAAAGCUAUUUAGGUAGCGCCUCGUGAAUUCAUCUUCGGGGGUAGAGCACUGUUUCGGCUAGGGGGUCAUCCCGACUUACCAACCCGAUGCAAACUACGAAUACCGAAGAAUGUUAUCACGGGAGACACACGGCGGGUGCUAACGUCCGUCGUGAAGAGGGAAACAACCCAGACCGCCAGCUAAGGUCCCAAAGUCAUGGUUAAGUGGGAAACGAUGUGGGAAGGCACAGACAGCCAGGAUGUUGGCUUAGAAGCAGCCAUCAUUUAAAGAAAGCGUAAUAGCUCACUGGUCGAGUCGGCCUGCGCGGAAGAUGUAACGGGGCUAAACCAUGCACCGAAGCUGCGGCAGCGACACUAUGUGUUGUUGGGUAGGGGAGCGUUCUGUAAGCCUGCGAAGGUGUGCUGUGAGGCAUGCUGGAGGUAUCAGAAGUGCGAAUGCUGACAUAAGUAACGAUAAAGCGGGUGAAAAGCCCGCUCGCCGGAAGACCAAGGGUUCCUGUCCAACGUUAAUCGGGGCAGGGUGAGUCGACCCCUAAGGCGAGGCCGAAAGGCGUAGUCGAUGGGAAACAGGUUAAUAUUCCUGUACUUGGUGUUACUGCGAAGGGGGGACGGAGAAGGCUAUGUUAGCCGGGCGACGGUUGUCCCGGUUUAAGCAUGUAGGCUGGUUGUCCAGGCAAAUCCGGAUAAUCAAGGCUGAGGUGUGAUGACGAGGCACUACGGUGCUGAAGUAACAAAUGCCCUGCUUCCAGGAAAAGCCUCUAAGCAUCAGGUAACAU
rnacentral:rRNA from 1 species